UCCGCGGUAGCUCAGAGCUGGAGCCCCAACCGGUAAUUGGUACGACGCGGGUUCGAUUCCCGUUCGCGGAG
rnacentral:tRNA from 1 species